rnacentral:rRNA from 1 species
AACGAACGCUGGCGGCAUGCCUAACACAUGCAAGUCGAACGAGACCUUCGGGUCUAGUGGCGCACGGGUGCGUAACGCGUGGGAACCUGCCCUUAGGUUCGGAAUAACUCCCCGAAAGGGGUGCUAAUACCGGAUAAUGUCUUCGGACCAAAGAUUUAUCGCCUUUGGAUGGGCCCGCGUUGGAUUAGCUAGUUGGUAGGGUAAAAGCCUACCAAGGCGACGAUCCAUAGCUGGUCUGAGAGGAUGAUCAGCCACACUGGGACUGAGACACGGCCCAGACCCCACGGGGAGGAGGAGGGGGGGAAUGUGGGACAGGGGGGGCAGGCUUGACCCAGACGUGCGGGGGGAGUAGAGAGGCAGUGGGGGUGUAAGAGUUCUUUGCACCGGGUCGAAAGGGCCAGCCCGGGAAAAAAGAACCCCGGCUAACCCCGGC